AACGAACGCUGGCGGCGUGCCUAACACAUGCAAGUCGUGCGAGAAAGUUCCUUCGGGAGCGAGUAAAGCGGCGCACGGGUGAGUAACACGUAGGUAACCUGCCCCCCAGUCUGGAACAACUAGAGGAAACUACUAGCUAAUGCCGGAUGAGACCACGAUCCCUUCGGGGUUGGCGGCCAAAGAAUGGCCUCUACUUGUAAGCUAUCGCUGAGGGAGUGGGCCGUGCGGGCCAUUAGCUGUUGGUGAGGUAACGGCUCACCAAGGCUGUGAUGGCUAGCUGGUCUGAGAGGAUGACCAGCCACACUGGGACUGAGACACGGCCCAGACUCCUACGGGAGGCAGCAGUGGGGAAUAUUGGACAAUGGGCGAAAGACCUGAU
rnacentral:rRNA from 1 species